UAAUUUAAUAUUUUUAAUUUUUAAGACUUUUUUUUAAGAUUGUCUUGAAAAUUAUUUUGACUUAAUGUCACACUUUGAUUUACUGAUUUACUAAUAUUUAUUUGCAGGUUUAGUUGCUUUUGUCUCCAUGUUGUCCAAGGGUUAUGUCGGCCAUGAUCCUAAUAUUAUCAUGGGUUUAGCAGAGUUGUUUAACUUGCAAACUGGAUUGAAGAUUUUGAAUAAUUUUUUGUGUUCUUUAUAUGGUCACAAGUUUGUACUUGUUUAGAACCCUCAGUCAUUUGAAAAUUAUGGCGCCGACAUGGUAGAUGUCCUAGAAAAAACUGGUAGUAACUCAAUGUAGAUACACAUAGUCGAUGGAGUUACUUGCUAAUAACUGGCAAUGAGACAUAUUUGCUUCAAAUGAUGCCUUUAAAGUUUGAAAAGAUUUUUUCUAAUUCAAAUGUCGACUUUUUGUUACAUGAAAAAAGAUACUUAUUUCAACCCCUCGACUAUAUUGAUACACUUAGUAUGUGGAGUUACUUGUCAAUAGCUAGCGAUGAAACUUUUAAGCGUAACGUCUUUAAGGGCUGAGAAGGUAAAAUUAGAAGUCUGCAGACUGCAACGUAAAUCGAUUUCAACACGUUAUGGCUUCUCGAAUAUAAUUAGUUUCCGAUUGAAAUGAGAAUAAACUGAACUUAUAUAUAAAGUGUUUACAAUUAACUUUUUAAACUAGAAAUACUCCAAAGGAGGUUCUCCAAACGGAAGUUAAGCAAAGUCGAUAGAUGUUAAUAUCUUUUAUAUUAUGUUUUAGAUAUAAAAAAAAAUUUU